UACGUAGGACCCAAGCGUUAUCCGGAAUUACUGGGCGUAAAGAGUUGCGUAGGUGGCAGAGUAAGUUAGUAGUGAAAGCGUGUGGCUCAACCAUACAGACAUUACUAAAACUGCUCAGCUAGAAGACGGGAGAGGUAGAUGGAAUUCUCAGUGUAGGAGUGAAAUCCGUAGAUAUUGGGAAGAACACCGAUGGCGUAGGCAGUCUACUGGCCCGCUCUUGACACUAAGGCACGAAAGCGUGGGGAGCGAACGGG
rnacentral:rRNA from 1 species